rnacentral:rRNA from 1 species
UACGUAGGGUGCGAGCGUUGUCCGGAAUUAUUGGGCGUAAAGAGCUCGUAGGCGGUCUGUCGCGUCGAUCGUGAAAACUUGGGGCUUAACCCUGAGCUUGCGGUCGAUACGGGCAUGACUGGAGUUCGGCAGGGGAGACUGGAAUUCCUGGUGUAGCGGUGAAAUGCGCAGAUAUCAGGAGGAACACCGGUGGCGAAGGCGGGUCUCUGGGCCGAUACUGAC